CGACAUGGUCACCUCUUUCGUCUCGGUCUGUCGAUCCAUCGCCAAAACCCUAGUUAUGACCCUCCGAUCGAAGCCCGAGAUCCUUCUCCCAGAUCGAGCGGCAGUCGCAAACCAUGGGUUCCGAUGAUCCUGUUGGAUUGUGUAGAUACUGAUAUGAGGGACGGUGGGUUCGAGUACUCCGACGACGAGCCGGAGGAACAGCAUGUCGAUAUUGAGAACUAGUUCUACGAUUCCGAAGGCAUAUCGCUAGGUCAGAAAGUGAUGAACCCUUGAGUUAGCCCCCAUGGGCCGCAUUGCUGCUUGAGUCAAACAGGUAAGCUGUAGCAUUGAGCCUUAUUUCAAUUGAUGAGCUUUUGGAAUUAUCAUACCUUGGAUAAUAGCCUCUGCUGCAUGGGUAUAACUGCUUACAUUGACACUCCCCAAGAGAGGAGGCUGAGACCGAGGAGGUGUUAUUUUUUCGACCAAGGGGGGCUCGAGAUGAUCUCAGAUAUUUAUCAGAGGUCUCGUAUUACAAUUCUUAUAUGUUCAUUUUUACUUGCAACCAUGAUCAUCAUUGUAGAAGCUGAGUUUGUUGUCAUAACUGCAUAGAAAUUAUUGUUGUUAUACUGAACUACUAAUUUGGUUGUGCACAAAGAAUUUUUUGGUGACACUUUUUUGGUCUACGGAACCAGUGCCAAACAUCCCAAAGAUUCCAAAAAUCUUUUGAGUGGCCACAGACAUCUCCACAACCAGGAUACGUUCUCUCUGCCUGUGGCAUCACCUUUCCUCUCUAAAGAUGGAAGGUACCUUUUGUCUGCUACAUUACACGCAUUUGUGAUCAGGAAGCUAAUGGCUUUCUUGGAAGAUGCUUGCUGUUAGCAAGUGGCACCAAGCAUCAAGAAUUAGCCUCCACUCAUUUGCAUCAUGGUCCUCCAACACCAUCCUGUGGCUCUCCAACUUUAUGAACAUGCACCAUUAAACCCCACUAUGGUUCCUUUGCUUGGUGAAGUCACUCACUUGUAACUUUGCUGUCACUCUCAUGUUCCCUAAAUGGAUUGAUAUCAGCAAUUUCUUUAGAACACAUUGUAUUAGUCAAUCCAUAUCUUAUUAAGGCCACUCAACCUUAUGAGAUUCUACUUUAACCAUUAGUGAUUCAGUGCUAGAUCGUUGCCAUCUUUGGAGACGAAGCACAAUGAUGAUGGGUUGUUUGUUUACUGGACUGGUCUCUUGAGUCUGUUGCCCUUUCUUCGGUUUGUCAACCCCGUCUAAUGAACCUAAGAUUUUGAGAAUUAAGAUAAGGAAAACCAGUUCACAUUUCUAUUUAACAUUAUUGAUUCUGACACUAUUAGCAUCUGAGCAACCAAAGCUUGAACUAUGAUACUUAUGACAUGAAAUGCAGCCAGUUGUUCUUUCUAUGACAUGUUUUCCCAAUAAUCACAUAUGCACGUAUAUAUCUCAUUCUCAAACCUCAAACUUACAUUCGGAUAUCAUUUUUCUUAUUUUUAUGACUAAUAAAGUUUGUAUUUGCAUUUCAGAGAACCAUAGAUGAAUGGGAUACAAAAAACCCUUUGUUGAUUUGUGAUGAGCUCAUUUGGAUCCAUGGUGAUGCCAAACCAUGCUACCACCACUGCAAAUUUUCCUUCGACAAGUAGUACUACUCUACAGUAGAUGGAUCUACUUCAACAAGCACUAUGGAAUUUGGCAACCUCCAUUACAUUCUUUUGGUACUCGAGUCUUCCUCUUCCAAAUGUAUCCAGCUAGCUUAAGCCCCCCCCAUCCAGAAUCCAUCAAUGAUUUGGUUUCCAGAUGACGACAGGCGGAGGAAUCCUGCACGCUUCAGAUACGCAACCGGUACAGGCAUCUUUCAGCCACAGCCGACCGACAUCAAUGAAAGGGAAUGCUGGUGGCUCAGUGAAACAGAGGGAUUUUUUUAUGAUGGAGUAAUGAAAAGACAAAAAGAGGAUGAUAAUAAUAUGAAAAAUAAUAAUAAUAAUCAGACUCACCAUUUUGAUGUUGCACAUUAUUUAAGAAAAAAAAUUAAUUUGUUGAUCUAAUUUGAUGUUUCCAUUAUAAUAUCUUAGUUCUUUUUUGUAUCCCCAAGUACAGAACUAAAAUAAAAAAAAGUUAACAAGGAAAAAAAAUCAUAAUACAGC